CACUCUUCUCUGUUCUUCUCAUUUGCAAUCGCAUUGUCUGACACAUAUCUGGAGUUUGUAGCUAGAUUGUGAAACCCGAGUGAAAGAAGAAAUAAUUGAAUAUAAUUUCAAAGGCUGAAUGUUCGGCGUGUUCCUCGAUCCACGAGCAGGUAGCAGAUAGUGAGGUGAAAACCCGAUCCUCUGACUUGUGGCUCUCGAUGCGGUUUAGAGGAGACCAGAGGAAGAUGAAGGCCACUUUGAUGUCUCAUUCAGACGUCCGUUUGAUGUCACUCCGUUAUCCAGGAGCAAAGAUGGAUCCGCUGAGCCGGUUUCAUCCCCGGUGACAGAAUCUGCUUCGACAGACGAAGGCUUUUAAACACUGCUGAAAAAUGUCUACACGGCAGGUGUUUGCUGUUUGCUUUCAAUUCCCAUUAGUCUCUUCAGGUGGCUUUCUGUUCUGAACUGCAGAACUGAAUAGUGGAGAACUAAGGCCAGAAAUGGAUUCUACACAAGUGCACAGUGUAGACGUCAAUACUUGGCCAAGGAAUUACAUUCUUAACGUGGGCUACAGUGGCGUUUCCUUCAAAUAUCUGUGCCAUUAACCUAUAAGGUAUGUCUGAUGGCCCGAGGGCCCGUCGGGUCCCUGUAGUGGCUGAUAAAGGCUCUGUUGGGCUCCAGGCGUCCAGAGAUUUAACACUCCAUACUUCCGUCAUUCAGCACAGAUUCCAGCACUAUUCCCAGGUCCAGGCCGCACAGCGCCGGGGAAGCGAGAGAUUACGGCCAUGUGGGAAUCCAAGCAAGAUUAUAGUUCAUUUCCAGACAGGUGAAAAUGUGCUUACGGUUAGAGAGAGACAGAAAACAAACGACUUCUUCAGCUCCUCUUGUCUGAAGCGGCUUCAUUAGAGACGUAAGCCUUCAUGAAAUGCUAAUUCACAGCGUCUCCCUUCAAUUUGUUUCCUAGGAUCAAGAUCCUCUCUGAAUAUCUGGGGAGCCUGUUAAUAUUUGAGCAAACGGAUGUGUUUGAAUUACUUAAAGUCCACAAAUCUGCCUGCUCGAGAAGAUCUGAUUGAAAAUGUACUCGGUUUAAUUUGGUUAUGUUUGCAGGGAGCAUUUGCUCAAGAGGAAAGCGCUGUGUGUAGCUCCGAUUAUGAAUUCAAACGAAGUCGAGGGACAAACAUUUCAUUUUGCUUUCAUCUCUGUUUAAAGUGGGUGUCAGGAUCAACUCGUGUCACUUCAUGACAUCUCAUGAUUUUAUUUUAUUUUGUCGCUGACAUUGGUAGUCCCUGAAGAAAGGCGCACUGUUUACUCUGCAACUCAAGCAGAAUAACUUGAUUUUCUGUAGUAAAUGUUUGUGGAAGUUUGCCUUUGGAUUUUGGGGCAUUGCUAAGGUAGUUUUUGAGUUUUGGUUAUAUACACAU